rnacentral:rRNA from 1 species
ACGGGCCAUGCUUAGUAGCGGCGAGUGAAGCGGCAAAAGCUCAAAUUUGAAAUCUGGCACUUUCAGUGUCCGAGUUGUAAUUUGAAGAAGGUAUCUUUGGGUCUGGCUCUUGUCUAUGUUUCUUGGAACAGAACGUCACAGAGGGUGAGAAUCCCGUGCGAUGAGAUGUCCCAGACCUAUGUAAAGUUCCUUCGAAGAGUCGAGUUGUUUGGGAAUGCAGCUCUAAGUGGGUGGUAAAUUCCAUCUAAAGCUAAAUAUUGGCGAGAGACCGAUAGCGAACAAGUACAGUGAUGGAAAGAUGAAAAGAACUUUGAAAAGAGAGUGAAAAAGUACGUGAAAUUGUUGAAAGGGAAGGGCUUGAGAUCAGACUUGGUAUUUUGUAUGUUACUCUCUCGGGGGUGGCCUCUACAGUUUACCGGGCCAGCAUCAGUUUGAGCGGUAGGAUAAGUGCAAAGAAAUGUGGCACUGCUUCGGUAGUGUGUUAUAGUCUUUGUCGAUACUGCCAGCUUAGACUGAGGACUGCGGCUUCGGCCUAGGAUGUUGGCAUAAUGAUCUUAAGUCGCCCGUCUUGAAMMMMGGRAMMCA